GCAGUCGUGGCCGAGUGGUUAAGGCGAUGGAGUAGAAAUCUGUUGGGGUCUCCCCGCAUAGGUUCGAAUCGACUGCG
rnacentral:tRNA from 2 species